GAUGAAGAACGUAGCGAAAUGCGAUAAGUAAUGUGAAUUGCAGAAUUCAGUGAAUCAUCGAAUCUUUGAACGCACAUUGCGCCCGCCAGUAUUCUGGCGAGCAUGCCUGUUCGAGCGUCAUUUCAACCAUCAAGCCCCAGGCUUGUGUUGGAGCCCUGCGGCUGCCGCAGCCUCCCAAAACCAGUGGCGGGCUCGCUAUCACACCGAGUGCAGUAGUUUACUCUUCGCUCAGGGCGUGUGGCGGGUGCUAGCCGUGAAACCCCCAACUUCUCAAGGUUGACCUCGGAUCAGGUAGGAAUACCCGCUGAACUUAAGCAUAUCAAUAAGCGGAGA
rnacentral:misc_RNA from 1 species